GGAUAACCUACCCUUAGGACUGGGAUAACCCUGGGAAACUGGGGAUAAUACUAGAUAGGCAAUUUUUCCUGGAAUGGUUUUUUGUUUAAAUGUUUUUUCGCCUAAGGAUGGGUCUGCGGCCGAUUAGGUAGUUGGUUAGGUAACGGCUUACCAAGCCAUUGAUCGGUACGGGUUGUGAGAGCAAGAGCCCGGAGAUGGAACCUGAGACAAGGUUCCAGGCCCUACGGGGUGCAGCAGGCGCGAAACCUCCGCAAUGUGAGAAAUCGCGACGGGGGGAUCCCAAGUGCCAUUCUUAACGGGAUGGCUUUUCAUUAGUGUAAAGAGCUUUUGGAAUAAGGGCUGGGCAAGACCGGUGCCAGCCGCCGCGGUAACACCGGCAGCUCUAGUGGUAGCAGUUUUUAUUGGGCCUAAAGCGUCCGUAGCCGGUUUAAUAAGUCUCUGGUGAAAUCCUGUAGCUUAACUGUGGGAAUUGCUGGAGAUACUAUUAGACUUGAGACCGGGAGAGGUUAGAGGUACUCCCAGGGUAGAGGUGAAAUUCUGUAAUCCUGGGAGGACCGCCUGUUGCGAAGGCGUCUAACUGGAACGGUUCUGACGGUGAGGGACGAAAGUUAGGGGCGCGAACCGGAUUAGAUACCCGGGUAGUCCUAACUGUAAACGAUGCGGACUUGGUGUUGGGGUGGCUUUGAGCUGCUCCAGUGCCGAAGGGAAGCUGUUAAGUCCGCCGCCUGGGAAGUACGGUCGCAAGACUGAAACUUAA
rnacentral:rRNA from 1 species